rnacentral:precursor_RNA from 10 species
AUAGCUACGUCACAAACGACUUUAUGACGUCGGAACAUUGUUGGAACGGGCUGUACGAUCUCAGCUCGCUCCGCAAUGCACCCAAGUCAUUAUGUCACAAGCAUCUCUUCUAUUC